AUUGAACGCUGGCGGCAUGCCUUACACAUGCAAGUCGAACGGUAACGGGCCUUCGGGUGCCGACGAGUGGCGAACGGGUGAGUAAUACAUCGGAACGUGCCCGAUCGUGGGGGAUAACGAGGCGAAAGCUUUGCUAAUACCGCAUACGAUCUACGGAUGAAAGCAGGGGACCGCAAGGCCUUGCGCGGACGGAGCGGCCGAUGGCAGAUUAGGUAGUUGGUGGGAUAAAGGCUUACCAAGCCGACGAUCUGUAGCUGGUCUGAGAGGAUGAUCAGCCACACUGGGACUGAGACACGGCCCAGACUCCUACGGGAGGCAGCGGUGGGGAAUUUUGGACAAUGGGCGCAAGCCUGAUCCAGCCAUGCCGCGUGCAGGAUGAAGGCCUUCGGGUUGUAAACUGCUUUUGUACGGAACGAAAAGCCUUCUUUUAAUACAGGAGGGUCAUGACGGUACCGUAAGAAUAAGCACCGGCUAACUACGUG
rnacentral:rRNA from 1 species